AAGAAACCAACAGGGAUUGCCCUAGUAACGGCGAGUGAAGCGGCAACAGCUCAAAUUUGAAAUCUGGCGCAAGCCCGAGUUGUAAUUUGUAGAGGAUGCUUCAGGGCAGCGGCCGGUCUAAGUUCCUUGGAACAGGACGUCAUAGAGGGUGAGAAUCCCGUAUGCGACCGGUUGGCACCCGUCACGUAGCUCCUUCGACGAGUCGAGUUGUUUGGGAAUGCAGCUCUAAAUGGGAGGUAAAUGCCUUCUAAAGCUAAAUACCGGCCAGAGACCGAUAGCGCACAAGUAGAGUGAUCGAAAGAUGAAAAGCACUUUGGAAAGAGAGUUAAAAAGCACGUGAAAUUGUUGAAAGGGAAGCGCAUGCAACCAGACUUGCCGGCGGUGUUCAACCGGUCUUCUGACCGGUCUACUCGCCGCCGGCAGGCCAACAUCAUUUGGGAGCGCCGGAUAAAGGUGGGAGGAAUGUGGCCCCUCGGGGUGUUAUAGCCUCCUACGCAAUACGGCGCCUCCCGAGUGAGGUCCGCGCUUCGGCUAGGAUGUUGGCGUAAUGGUUGUCUGCGGCCCGUCUUGAAACACGGACCAAGGAGUCUAACAUCUAUGCGAGUGUUCGGGUGUCAAACCCCUACGCGUAAUGAAAGUGAACGGAGGUGGGAACUUUUUGUGCACCAUCGACCGAUCCUGAUGUCUUCGGAUGGAUUUGAGUAAGAGCAUAGCUGUUGGGACCCGAAAGAUGGUGAACUAUGCCUGAAUAGGGUGAAGCCAGAGGAAACUCUGGUGGAGGCUCGCAGCGGUUCUGACGUGCAAAUCGAUCGUCAAAUUUGGGUAUAGGGGCGAAAGACUAAUCGAACCAU
rnacentral:rRNA from 1 species